rnacentral:rRNA from 1 species
GAUGAACGCUGGCGGCGUGCCUAAUACAUGCAAGUCGAGCGAACAGACGAGGAGCUUGCUCCUCUGACGUUAGCGGCGGACGGGUGAGUAACACGUGGAUAACCUACCUAUAAGACUGGGAUAACUUCGGGAAACCGGAGCCAAUACCGGAUAAUAUAUUGAACCGCAUGGUUCAAUAGUGAAAGACGGUUUUGCUAUCACUUAUAGAUGGAUCCGCGCCGCAUUAGCUAGUUGGUAAGGUAACGGCUUACCAAGGCAACGAUGCGUAGCCGACCUGAGAGGGUGAUCGGCCACACUAGAACUGAGACACGGUCCAGACUCCUACGGGAGGCAGCAGUAGGGAAUCUUCCGCAAUGGGCGAAAGCUUGACGGAGCAACGCCGCGUGAGUGAUGAAGGUCUUCGGAUCGUAAAACUCUGUUAUUAGGGAAGAACAAAUGUGUAAGUAACUAUGCACGUCUUGACGGUACCUAAUCAGAAAGCCACGGCUAACUACGUG